rnacentral:rRNA from 1 species
GACGAACGCUGGCGGCAUGCCUAACACAUGCAAGUCGAACGGAGAUUACUUCGUUAAUCUUAGUGGCCAACGGGCGAGCAACGCGUGGGCACCCUGCCAUCUAGAUGGGGACAUCAUCACGAAAUGGGUGCUAAUACCGUAUGUGCCAGCAAUCUCGCCUGCUGCUUCUUUGGAAGUUGGCCUCUACUUCUAAGGUAUCGCUAGAGGAUGCGCCUGCGUCUGAUUAGCUAGUUGGUGGGGUAACGGCCUACGAAGGCGAUGAUCAGUAGCCGGUUGGAGAGGAUGAGCAGCCGGACUGAGAGUGAGACACGGCCCAGAGGGCUACAGGAAGCAGCAGUAGGGAAUCUGGCGCAAUGAGCGGGAGCCUGACCGAGCAAUGCGGCGUGAGUGAGGAAGAAAGUCGUGCGGUAGAGCACUGUUGUUUAUGAGGAAUGUGCAGAUGGUAGAUAAGAAUCUGUAAUGACGGUAAUAGACAAAGAAGCAACGGCUAACUACGUG